rfam:Bordetella bronchialis strain AT17976, complete genome.
CCUCGUCGAUCAGUUGGGGGCAGAUGAAAUGGACGUGGGCAUCGAUACCGCCGGCCGUCACGAUCUUGCCUUCGCCCGCGAUGAUCUCGGUGCCGGCGCCGAUGACGAUGGUCACGCCGGGCUGGAUAUCGGGAUUGCCGGCCUUGCCUAUGGCCUGGAUGCGGCCAUCUUUCAAGGCGAUAUCGGCCUUGACGAUGCCCCAGUGAUCCAGGAUGACCGCAUUGGUGAUGACCGUAUCGGCGACUUCCGCGCCCGGGCGCUGCGACUGGCCCAUGCCGUCGCGGAUG